ensembl:lncRNA
UCUUGGUAGCUCAAAAGGAGUUGGAAAAACCUUUAAAGGGGGUAUUUCUGGAUGGACGUGGACCAUGACAUACACAAUCUUGGAAAUGUCCUUGGGGGAAGACACUACCAGAGUGAGGAGAAGAGGCCUGAGUCAGGUAGAGUGUUGACAACAGUACAAUGGGCAGAAAGGACGACAACUCUGAGUACUGGAGAGAUGGCGAUGACUCCAAACCUGAUUUACAAACGGACUCAAAGACUGGAAGUUUCAAUCAGUGCAUCCACCGCACCACCUCAGAAACUCAUAACUUGGCUGAUGACACUGCUGGCAGCGCCAAUGAUGAUGAAGUGGAGGAGGGUCAGAGGGGAAAGAGCUGUGAGGAUGAUGAAGAGGGCCACCUGGCCUAUCACAUCGGCCUCGUGAUGAAAGAAAGAU